ACAGUAAAAUAUUCCCAAUAAAAUUUGAUAAAAACAAAUAAAAUACCCUUUUCCCCUAAAAGCAUGUUACAGAGCUUCACAUGCAGACUGAGCCCCCUCACUCAGUUUGUACCAGAAAAAAACAGUAAAAUAUCCCCAAUUAAAAUUUGGAUAAAAACAGUAAAAUAUCACCAAUAAAAUUUGAUAAAAACAAAUAAAACACCCUUUCCCCCUUAAAAGCAUGUUACAGAGCUUCACAUGCAGACUGAGCCACCUCACUCUCAGUUUGUACCGUUGAAAAUGUUUUGACUGAGCCUCCGCACAUCAGCCAGACUGAGCCACCGCACAUCAGUCAAACUGAGCCUGCUCACUCUCAGUUUGUAUCAGUAAGAAUGGAUACUUGAUACGUAUGGUAGGGGACGUUACUAUACCUAGAGCAGAGGUAAAGUAUCUGUGAACCCUAAACACAGAGUGCGGCUUAACUUCCCAUACGUGUACACAAGUAUCCAAUGCUUACUAAUACAUAAUUUGUCAUGUUUUUCAUGUCAGAC
rnacentral:lncRNA from 1 species